CUAAUUAUCACUCGCAUGGGAACACUCGAGCAGGAAAAGAAGACGCACGCAGUUCCGGCUUAAUAUCUGUUUAAAAAGACAAACGUCAGUAAAGCACGAGGAGAGUAAGAGGCGGCAUUCUCAUCGAGCUCUUCCGAAGUUGUGCUGAAUCUGGUACCAAUUAUUCAAAGACUGAACAGACAGCCGUUGUCACUUUGGAGAGUGGUCGAAGAGGGCACAGGAAAUGGUAGCGCUGAUGAUGAGGGGAUGGCAUCCGAAGAAGAGACUGUAGAUGAUGGUGUGCGUUUCAAGGAAGGAGAGAGCAGUCAAGGUGAGCAUCCUCCACCCAGGAAUCCAAAGCCGUCUUGUCCACUGGCUGCCCUUCUUGGUGGUGAACGAUACGGUGGUGGAGCACAACCCAAGACAAAUACCCAAGAGGACCAGGCCAAGGAGCAGAUGACCCGCUACAAGGAGGCAGAUCUCUUGGAAGUGAAAGAAGAUCCACUGGUCUGGUGGAAGGAGCACCAGUAUGAGUAUCCACUCUUGUCACACCUGGCUAAAAGGUACCUGUGCAUCCCUGGCACUAGUGUCUCCUCGGAGAGGGUCUUCUCUACCGCCGGAGAUAUCCUUACUGCUCAGAGAAGUGCACUUCUCCCAGACCACGUUGAUCAGAUUCUAUUCCUGAACAAAAAUCUGAAGAGAAUGUAGAUGCAGUUAUGUAGAGAGGAGCCUUUCUGUUUAGUGUUUUUGGCUUAAAUGUUACUCCUUUGGACUUGAAUUAUUGGCAGGUACAUUUUACAUUAAAUGUUGUUCUUAGUGACUUGAAUUAUUGGCUACCUCAUAUUCUGUGUUAAGCUAAAAAUGCUGUAAAA